rnacentral:rRNA from 1 species
GAGCACGUAGGUGGGUUUGUAAGUCAGAUGUGAAAGCCUUCUGUUCAACGGGAGAAUUGCAUCUGAAACUACAAAUCUUGAGUGUAGGAGGGGAGAAUGGAGCUUCUGGUGGAGCGGUGAAAUGCGUAGAUAUCAGAAGGAACGCCGGCGGCGAAAGCGAUUCUCUGGCCUAUUACUGACACUCAGUGUGCGAAAGCUAGGGGAGCAAACGGGAUUAGAUACCUCGGUAGUCCUAGCCGUAAACGAUGGGCACUAAGUAGAGGGAAUUACCGAUACUCUCUCUGCCGUAGCUAACGCAUUAAGUGCCCCGCCUGGGGAGUACGGCCGCAAGGCUAAAACUCAAAAGAAUUGACGGGGGCUCGCACAAGCGGUGGAGCAUGUGGCUUAAUUCGAUGCAACGCGAAAAACCUUACCGGGGCUUGACAUGGUAGAAGUAGGAACCCGAAAGGGUAACGAACGGUAUCCAGUCCGUAACUAUUACAGGUGUUGCAUGGCUGUCGUCAGCUCGUGUCGUGAGACGUUGGGUUAAGUCCCCUAACGAGCGAAACCCUUGUUUUUAGUUGCCAGCGGGUUAUGCCGGGCACUCUAGAAAGACUGCCGUCGUCAAGACGGAGGAAGGUGGGGAUGACGUCAAGUCAUCAUGGCCCUUAUGCCCCGGGCUGCACACGUGCUACAAUGGUCGGUACAAACGGAAGCGAAGCCGAGAGGUGAAGCGAAUCC